ensembl:lncRNA
AGAGAAAAAGACAAAUAUAAAUGCUAUUGACUGAAGAAAACUGAGCUAAUUUUGCUGUUGCUGUUGUUCCACUGUUCAGCUGACCUUUAAGAAGAGCCUCUUGGAAAUUUGCUUCAUAGCUGUAACACUGACAGCUGGCAGCAAUACUGGAUAGAGUAACUUAAGUUACAGCAAUGAAUCCUGGAUCAUAAAACACAGGCUUAAACACGGGCUUUGGGCUUAAAUGUGUAUCACUGCCCUAGAAGAAGUAGGAGAGGUUCAGGCAUUUUCCAAAGGGAUCCCAGAGCAACAGACAACCGCAGUCUGUGAUAUUCAACAUCAAGAGGUUUGAGUGGGACCUUAAACAACCGAACAACAAAUCACAUCUCAUCUUUCACCCACCACCACCAUCACUUAUUGCACAUUUCCAUGGCAACAUUAGCUUUCUAUCAAUGGCAUGACAACGUCAAAUAGUAUCCAGGCCUAGAAGAGCAGUGACAAAGGAAGGAUGACCUACAUGUAGAGAGAGGAAAGAGAUCGUCCCAGAACAACCCACCGGAAUCCACGGGAAGCAACUUCUUGA